UUUAUAUUUUGUACCAAAUCAUGAUGUUAAUAAGAUAAACCCUUCAUGUUAAUGUGACAAAUCCCUUCGUCUCCAUUGCUCUCCAUGGCUCCCUCCACUCGCCUCCUCCCAACUCCCCACAACUACCUUCUUGAGCCUCAUUUGCUCAAUCCUUAGACAUUCUCAUUAUCGUCUCAUUUGUCCCUUUUCUGCCCUUCCUCAAGAUAAAGGAUGUUUGUCAUCACCUUUGUAUCUCGGAAAAUCUAUGGAAAAGUAGUUGUUGGAUGAAUCAACAAGGCCUUAUUUCUCUUGAACAAGGAAGGAGAUGGGAUUUUCCCAUCUUUAAGGAUUUAGCAUUUUUCUAUGUCAUCGUUGUUGACAUUGUCAAUAUGUGGAAUUAUUUAAUUUUUUAUUUAAUAUAAAAUCUGAAGUUCACAUUCAUUGAGCCCUAUAAGAGUUUCUUAGAACCUUAUCUCUAGAUCUUGAUUGAUUUUGAUGAUUGUUUUGUUGUCUGCGGUCUCGGCAAUUGAUGUUGAAAAGCACCAUCAAUUUUAAUUUCUCACGUGCUUGCAUUUUGUUAUAAAAUUUUUGCCUAAUUGCUAAUUUCUCUUUCACUCAUGCUUUCUGGAGGAAAGGAAAGUUAUAUAGUGUAGUAGGGCCAGUAAGAUAAUCUCCUGUUUAGAAUAUGGUAUAAUUUCUUUUCCUCUUUUUUUUUAUUUCAUUAUGUUCUUGGUAUCCAUCCUUUUAGGUUUAUGAUGUCUGUGGUCACCCAGUAUAAUUUUUUUUAUUAAAAGGUCAAAAAGGCUAGACAAAUGAUAUUUAAUAUAAUUAUGUUUAAGCCAGAAGAUAACAUAGUCUACACAAGAUUGACUUCUUAAUAUAGACAACAAUUACGGGGCUUUUCAUUGAUGGUCAAUUUAUAUUUAUGAUUGGGAUAACAAUAAUUUGACGAAAUAAUAAUUGUUUCAUCUAUUAAUUUUCAAGAUUUUUUUGAUUUAAAUGUAUAAUAAGAUCAAAGUUUAGAACAGUUUAGCUGGCUUUAAAGCAGCUGCAGAUGGCCUAAAAAUUCCCAAAAAUAUAUAUUGGUUUGAUGUUACAUAGUUGUUGGUUUGUGCCUUAAUCAAAAGCUUGAAAUAAAAGUUUACAAAGGUUUAUAGCUAUGAAAUUUGGAUUGAAUUAAAAGAUCCUCCUCUUUUGGUUCUAAUGUAGGAUCAAAUGACAAGGAUGAGCUCUGGUAUUUUUUAGCAUCAAUAUCAUCGUGGAAGGAGGUGGCAUCUUUUUUUACAAUAUGCAUUAAGCCAGCUCUGUUAUCAACAAUGUUCUAUUAGAACUUCACUCAUGUUUAAUUAUGUACAAAAUUUGCUGCUAUUUUAACUUGGUAUCCAUAAUUUAUAUUCUCCUUUCUGAAUUUUGUCUAUUAUUUUUCUAAAUUUGUUGUAGGCUACCUUUUAAUACUCUGUGAGUCUACAAAUGCUAGAGGAGAUGUUGAAGAGAGGCUUUGGAUGGCAGUACAAAUGCUAUGACGGUCGUGGGGACUUUGCGACUUGGGAGAACGAAGCACACACUGAGUGUUGAGGUCUAUGGGCUUCACAUGGCCCUGAGAAGCCAUGGAUCAUAAGAGGAAGCAACACGAAGCAGGGGAAAGGGAUCAUCCUCGAUAAAGUGUUAUGAUGACAAGAAUGUUUAAAGGCGUCGUUUGUUACUCAUUCUUGUAUUUACUAGAAAUUUAAGAAGUGAUCUAACUAUAUUUUUUAAAGACAUUCUAAACCUGAUGAAAUAAUGAUAUUUGGUUGAAAUUUCUAGUAUCAAUCUAACUCAACCAGAAAGCCCUCGAUUUUUCGCAAGAAUUCAGCCUAUUAUGAAAAACUUGAAGCAGCAUGUAUAUGAACAAAUGAAAAAGCAAGAUCUCUUUCAUGAGUUUGUCCAAAUAGAUGAAAUAGUGUAGGGACUAUGUCAACCUAUGUCGAUCACUACCUUGGACUAUAGCAAGUAUUGUGUGGUCUUGAGCAUGAGGCUACGUCAAGGCUAAGAAAACCUUGGACGUCCUUGUGUGACACCAAUACCAUUUGUGAUAUAUAGAAGACCAAUCACAGUGUGAUGUCCUUGCGUGGCCCAAGCGGUACCAUCGCAUGGGUCUAGUGGUAUCAGAGCAGCGUUCUUGGCGUCUCGCUGCCCUUCCAUAGCCAUCCAUCAACUCUCCACAACCGCCCAAAGCAAUUCCCACAAUUGCUUAAGAGAUCGUUGCCAAAUUCCACCAUCAUCUCCACCACUACUGAUCAUCCUUUGAUCUCCCCGUGAAUUGCAACAAAUUCUGGUUUUCUACCUUACUGCUGCUGCAAUUUAGUUAUCCUUAUUUGAAAAUCCCAAAAAAAAUAUUCCUAUAUUGCUGCAUAAACUUUUCGUCAUAAAGUUUUCAUCUCUACGACGAAAGAUACAUUGCAGAAUUCCAACCGUAUUGCACCGUCUUUUUGAUCUUGCUACUGUGUUUUUUCUAUCCAAAUCUCUUCAAAAUUUUUAUGACAUCUUUGACACUUCCUAACAGCAGAUUUUCCUUUGGUUUUGUCAAAAAAUUCUCAAUAUAAACCAUUGAUAUUUUACGUCUAAUCUGCUAUACUUGAAAAUCUGCACUAUAAAAUUUCAGCCAUAUAGCACUGUUUGUUUGAUCUUGAUACUACGUUGUUUCUAUUCAAAUCUCUACGAAAUUUUUAUCAUAGCUUUGACACUUCCUAAUAGUGGAUUUCCCUUUCGUUUCAUCAAAAAAUUCUCAAUAUAACCUACUGAUCUUUUACAUCCAAUCUGCUAUACUUAAAAAUCUGUGCUGCAGAAAAUUUCAACUGCAUAUUUUUGCCUUAACCCAUCUAUUUGCAAUCUUUUUUGAAUGAAAUUUCUUAUACACUUCAUAGAUCAUCUUGGCUUUCAUCUAUGAUUGAUCUAUUAAGAAAUUCAUCUCUAAAAACGAUUUUGUGUUGCUGCAAAUUUUUAUCGUAACCCGUUGAAAUUUCUCGACGAGAAUUCUGCAAUCGCAACUUGCACCAAUUUCCUUGUUGUUAUACUACCGAAAUUUUCUUAAUUAAAUUAGAUAUCCUUGCUGUCAUAUAAACUGUGAUUUUGCUAUCAAUUCCCUCCUCAAUUCUCUCAAGUUUUUGGUGGAAUUUACGUCGAGAAAUCGUUGUUUCUUCGACGACAAUUCUACUCUUACAAGACAACACAUACUUGCUGCAACUUCCACUGAUUUUUAUCAAACCUUUGCUACCAUCUACCACAGAUUCAAAACUUUCAUCUACAGCCCUAAAACUCCACCAAACCACACCCUCAAAUUGCACCUAAAUUAGCCACAAAAUAAGCCUAAACCGUAGCCUACAUCCACCGAUCUACCAACCCUUUCGACCAUUAGCUCUCUCAGCCAAUACAUGCCUUUAACCCAACAACAAAAGAGAGAUCUUAACAUCACAGAUUUUGUGGCAUAUACUAUGGCAUCUGAUGAGGUAAUCAAUGCUAAAUUUGAAGCCUUCGAGGCACGAAUGGAGGAUAAGAUUCGGACGCUCUUUACCGAACUCAGAUUGGGCUGACCACUAAGCUCGAAGAAAUCACAUCAAGGAGAGAGCUUUGCCCAAUCGCAUCAAGCCCAAAGAUAUGACUUCCAAGAGAGGGGAAGCUCUAUGACCAACCCCAACUAUCCAUGCAUGAGAGUGGAUUUCCUUAGAUGGCAAGAAGGAGACCCGAUUGGUUGGAUCUCGCGUGCGGAGCGAUAUUUUCGGUACUAUAAAACCGCGGAUGCAUUUAUGGUGAAAAUUGCAGCUAUACAUCUUGAAGGGGAUGCUAUACAGUGGUUUGAUUGGUUUGAACAUACUUAUGGAGUCCUUUCAUGGCGACAAUUCAAAGAAGGACUACUGAUCCGCUUCAGACCAACCGAUUACGAGAAUAUUGACGGACAACUAGCAAAGAUCCGACAAACCUCCACCAUUCAAGAGUACCAAACCUGGUUUGAAAGGUUAUCUAAUCAAACUCAUGAUUGGUCUCAAAAACAGCUAUUGCGGACCUUCAUUGAGGGCUUGAAGCCAGAGAUCCAAGGAGAAGUUAAAGCGCAACAACCGUAUACGCUUAUGGCAGCCAUCUCUUUUGCACGACAUCAAGAGGAGCAAUUAAAUCAUGAAGCUCGGAGGACUAGGGUCGCUCCUCAACCAGUAAUAUUGAAGCCCUCAGCCCCCCCUACUGUCGACCAAGUCCCUACACCAAAGAGGUUAACAAGAGAAGAGCUUCGGGAGCGAUAUGCGAAGGGGUUAUGUUGGCAUUGUGACGAGCCGUGGAGCCGUAAGCAUCACUGUAGCAAAGGGAGACUUCUUAUGAGUGAACCAAUAGAAGAAGAGGUCAUUGAACAUCCAGAAGAGAGCCUUGAACAUGAAGAAGAAGAUGCGGAAGAAGAGCUACAACCGACUGAAGUUACGGUACAUGCACUAGCCGGCUACUCAAACCCGGAAACGAUGAAAGUUGGAGGCCUUCUCAAACAACAACCGAUCACUGUUCUCAUCGACACAGGCAGUUCUAAAAGCUUUAUAAACAGUAAGGUUACUAUCCAGAUGGCCUUACCUAUUGAGAAUUGCAGCAGGUUUGACGAUAAGGUCGUCGACGGACGGAUUUUGAAUUAUGAUCGUAGGCGCCCGCAGGAGAAACUAUUGCUGUAGGACCAAGAGAUAAUUACAUAUUUCUUCCUUCUCCCUCCUGAUGAUCAUAAGGCCAUGUUCAUAAUUAAAUGGUUGACGACAUUAGGUGAUAUUUCUUGGAAUUUUAUGCAACUAAUUAUGAAAUUUUACAGUAAGGGGAAACAGGUGAUACUGAACGGGAAAUGUGGGGGCGACAUAACGACGAUUUGCACACAACAAAUUGAGAAUUUUUGCAUAAAGCAUGUAGCAUAUUUUUUAUACAACAUGAGCAGCAAACUAAGGGAGAGCCAAUACAAUUUGAAGAUCCAAACCUUCUUCCUUUGCUUACUAAAUUUUCAGAUAUAUUUGACGAACCGUACAACCUACCUCUUACCCGUCGGCAUGAUCAUUAUAUAAUGAUUCUUUCAGGCAAACCUCCAGCAAAUACUCGGUCAUAUCAAUAUCUAUAUCUCCAGAAGGAUGAAAUAGAAAGGAUUGUAAAAGAAAUGCUCAAAACAUGAGUUAUUCGGCCAAGUUGCAACAUCUAUUCUUCACCGGUGCUACUUGUACGCAAGAAGGACGGAACAUGGCGAAUAUGCGUUGAUUACUGAGCUCUCAAUGGCAUAACCAUCAAGGACAAAUACCUUAUUCCAAUAGCAAAUGAAUUACUAGAUGAAAGGGAGCACAAACUUUACAAAGCUGGAUUUUUGAUCCGGGUAUCAUCAAAUAUAAGUGUGCGAAGAAGACAUAUCAAAAACCACCUUUUGAACACACAACAACCAUUACGAAUUUUUGCUUUCUUCAACAGAAGGUGGAAUAUCUUGGGCAUAUCAUAUCAGAGGAAGGUGUGACAGUGGACCCCUUCAAAAUUGAAGCAAUGCAAAACUGGCCUACCCCGAAGAACGUAAAAUUGCUACAUGGCUUUCUGGGUUUAACAGGCUACUACUGCAAGUUCGUGAAAAACUAUGGUGAGAUCAGUGCAUCACUUACUUCCUUACUGAAAAAAGAUGUCUUUCAAUGGUCGGACAGAGCCUCCGCUGCCUUCGACAAACUUAAGGCAACCAUGACGACGACGUCGGUGCUAAUACUACCAGAUUUUAACCGACCCUUUAUUAUUGAGGUCGACGCAUCUGGAGUCAGAAUUGGAGCCAUUCUCAUGCAAGAUGGUCGACCACUCGCAUACACUAACAAGGCAUUAUCUCCCUCCCAUCAAAAUAAGUCAACAUAUGAUAAGGAGAUGCUCGCCAUUGUGCGCGCAGCAACGAGGUGGAGACCCUACUUGAUUGGUCGACGAUUUCAAAAUAAAACCGACCAUUAAAGCCUCAAGUACUUUUUGGAGCGAAAGAUACCAUCCCCUGAGCAGCAAAUAUGGGUUACAAAACUUCUUGGAUUUGAUUUUGAAAUAACUUACAAAAAAGGGAAAGAGAAUGUUCUUGCAGAUGCGCUUUCGAAGCUACCCGAGCAAGUUGAAGUUUCGGCCGUUUCACUUCCGACCAGCGACUUCCUUGAGGAUAUUAAGAUGGAAUGGCAGGAAGAUUCAGAUACUAGUAAGAUUAUAAAAAAAUUGGAGGAAGCACCAUGCUCCAUGGCUCAUUACAAUUGGGACUCAAAAAAUUACACUAUAAGGGACACAUUGUGCUUAUGAUAAAUUCUACUUGCAUCUUCACGAGCAGAUUUUGGACAAAGUUAUUCCAUAUACAGGGUGCUAAAUUGAAAAGGAGUACGGCAUAUCACCCACAAACCGACGGCCAAACGGAAGUUGUAAAUAGGUGCUUGGAGACAGCCCAAAGCCACCCACCAAAUAUGACUACCCAAGGAGUUCUUCAGACUCAGCCAAGUGCUAUUAUUGGUUGACGGAUCGUGACUCGACGACGACGAUCCACUACUGAAUUGCUAAUACAGUGGGCAAACCUACUAACAGAAGAUGUCACUUGGGAGAACUAUGAUGACUUGAAGAUUAAAUUCCCAAAAUUCAUUGUUCGUCAGCCUCGAGGAUAAGGCUGAUUUGAAGAGGGUGGGUCUGUUAGGACUCUAUCUAGGAGAGUCCUAAUUGGGAGGGACAUUCAUGUAAAACCAACCUAAGCCAACCCCUAUUAAAGAGGUGAAGAGGCCGGCUAGGGUUAGGAGGUUAUUUCUUAGAGAAGAAUAGGGAGUUGUAAAGGAAUAGGAGUCUUGAGUAGGAGUCCUAUUAGGAGUUGGUUAGAAGUAGGAGUUUUGAAUAGGAGUCCUAUUAGGAGUUGUUUAGAAGUAGGAGUCUUAAGUAAGAGUCCUAUUAGGAGUUAGGGUUUAGAAGCCCUAUAAAUAGUCAUGUAUUCCACCUCUUUUGAUAAGCAAUAGAUGAAUCUUUUCUGCAGCCUUUGAGCAGCAACUUAGAGGGAGGAACCCCUAUAGAGUUCCAAGGAGGCCGAUCCCCUAAAGAGAUCAACCCCAAGUUUAGAAUCUGUAAGGGUUCUAACAGUUUCAUCAUCAAAAUCUAAGAUUCAACAAAUCCCCCUAUCUCAUCUUCUCCGUUCACUAUCUUCGUAAGACAGCCCUCAGCCCUCUCUACCCCAAUCGUUGUUGCCACCCCCCUUUGCUUCUAAAUAGUGCUGAGGUCAUAGGUAAUGUUAGAGCAUGGAUGAUCCCUAAACUCUAGGAAAUGAUCUUCUUCUAUUGCUCUGAGAAGAUUUUUUUUGUUUAUUGAUGACUGUGGCUUUUGUGAGGACUUUGGAAAUCAGAUAUUGUCAUGUUUGUUGCUGUAAAUUCUAUAACUUGCAUACAUAUAUAUAUCACUCGACAACAAAAGUAUUCCUUACCGCAGGCUAGCUUCCAGCAGGAAGCAGUAGCUGAAGAGAUUCUUGAUGAAGAACAAAUCCUGAUCAAGGUUUGGGGGUUCUUUGUUUUCCUGAUAACAACAGCAAAAGUUCAGGAUUGCUUGAGAGGGCAAACCAUUUCAGUGAUGCAAAAAAUCAUCUUUUGUUUCUAGUUCUCCUCUGUUCAGUUUUAGACCCAGAUGAGGUUUUACCACUUAGAUAUGGCAGUUCUAGUUUUUCUGAGAAGUCAACUUCUUUCAUACAGUAAUAACUAGCAUUAAAAGAGAAUGAUUUCCUCACAAGAGGAUUAGUCAGUAGUCUUGAAGUGUAUCAAUGCAUAUGUGGAAAAUGGUUACCUAGAAACUGAGGUUGCUUUAACUCUAUCUUUUCCCUUCUUUGGAGAAGAUUUGUUGAACAAGUUUGAACUAUAUCACGUUCUUUGAUCUGUAGCAUGUUUCAUAAAUUCGAGGAGGUUGUCCAUGAUUCUCUGCAUUGAAUGUGUCAUUGGUAAGAAAGUUUGAUCUCUUCUGAAUGGCCUUAAUUUACACAGAGGCAAUUUUUCCUUUUUGUGUUUUCUGGAAAACUCUUACUAUGUCAUCUAGAGACACCUGGAAAGAGAAUACAGUUUGAAGUUGGAGAUUUAUAAUGAACAAGUGGUCAAGGAAUCCUUGAUCACAUAUGAAGCGUCCUUGCACUUGGUUAAUCGUUUUGAAUGCUCUGCAAUAUAACCAUCAGAAGAAUUUAUUUCUUUAUCAUGAUUGGUAUCAAUAAUGUCAGCUAAUAUGCAGAUGACAACACCUUGAUACAUGAUACCUGUCAAAGAUUAAAGAGCUAAGACAAAGUCUAGUGUGUAAAAGGCCAUGGAUGGUCUCUCUUCCUUCAGGCAGACAAGUAUGAACAUGACAUGUCUUUCCUGAAGGAUAUAUUGAUUGAAAGCAGCAAGAUGGACAUGAUUCAGCCAAGUUAUGAAGCUGUGCUGGAGAUAUGUUCACAAGAUGGUCUUUUUCUCUGCUGAAAUUCCGUUCAUGCCAGGUACCUUAUCUUCGGUGAGGCUGCAAACUUCUCUCGAGGAAGGAGAAUAUUUGAUUCCAUAAGAAGUGAUUGAAAAACUUGUAUUAGAGGUAAUUGUCCUAAGCUAGAUUUGUGUGCUAAUUAAAAAUGCAAAUGUUUCAUGUGCUCAUAUAAAACUGUUUGUGCAAUUCCAUGAGCUUUUGUGUCCAUAUGCAGAAUUUAAUAUGAUUAGUCUUUGGUGAUUCAACUACUUUGGCAAUUUUGUUUUCCUAUCUCUGGAAACCUUUUACCUAAGAGAUCCGUGAGAGUUGAACAAUGAUACAUGAAGAGAAUCUUAUGUAAAACUUUCAUAUUUUCCAGCA